rnacentral:rRNA from 1 species
GACGAACGCUGGCGGCGUGCCUAAUACAUGCAAGUUGAGCGCUGAAGGUUGGUACUUGUACCGACUGGAUGAGCAGCGAACGGGUGAGUAACGCGUGGGGAAUCUGCCUUUGAGCGGGGGACAACAUUUGGAAACGAAUGCUAAUACCGCAUAAAAACUUUAAACACAAGUUUUAAGUUUGAAAGAUGCAAUUGCAUCACUCAAAGAUGAUCCCGCGUUGUAUUAGCUAGUUGGUGAGGUAAAGGCUCACCAAGGCGAUGAUACAUAGCCGACCUGAGAGGGUGAUCGGCCACAUUGGGACUGAGACACGGCCCAAACUCCUACGGGAGGGAGCAGUAGGGAACCUUCGGCAAUGGACGAAAGUCUGACCGAGCAACGCCGCGUGAGUGAAGAAGGUUUUCGGAUCGUAAAACUCUGUUGGUAGAGAAGAACGUUGGUGAGAGUGGAAAGCUCAUCAAGUGACGGUAACUACCCAGAAAGGGACGGCUAACUACGUG